AGAGUUUGAUCCUGGCUCAGAACGAACGCUGGCGGCGUGGAUAAGACAUGCAAGUCGAACGAGAGAAUUGCUAGCUUGCUAAUAAUUCUCUAGUGGCGCACGGGUGAGUAACACGUGAGUAACCUGCCCCCGAGAGCGGGAUAGCCCUGGGAAACUGGGAUUAAUACCGCAUAGUAUCGAAAGAUUAAAGCAGCAAUGCGCUUGGGGAUGGGCUCGCGGCCUAUUAGUUAGUUGGUGAGGUAACGGCUCACCAAGGCGAUGACGGGUAGCCGGUCUGAGAGGAUGUCCGGCCACACUGGAACUGAGACACGGUCCAGACACCUACGGGUGGCAGCAGUCGAGAAUCAUUCACAAUGGGGGAAACCCUGAUGGUGCGACGCCGCGUGGGGGAAUGAAGGUCUUCGGAUUGUAAACCCCUGUCAUGUGGGAGCAAAUUAAAAAGAUAGUACCACAAGAGGAAGAGACGGCUAACUCUGUGCCAGCAGCCGCGGUAAUACAGAGGUCUCAAGCGUUGUUCGGAAUCACUGGGCGUAAAGCGUGCGUAGGCUGUUUCGUAAGUCGUGUGUGAAAGGCGCGGGCUCAACCCGCGGACGGCACAUGAUACUGCGAGACUAGAGUAAUGGAGGGGGAACCGGAAUUCUCGGUGUAGCAGUGAAAUGCGUAGAUAUCGAGAGGAACACUCGUGGCGAAGGCGGGUUCCUGGACAUUAACUGACGCUGAGGCACGAAGGCCAGGGGAGCGAAAGGGAUUAGAUACCCCUGUAGUCCUGGCAGUAAACGGUGCACGCUUGGUGUGCGGGGAAUCGACCCCCUGCGUGCCGGAGCUAACGCGUUAAGCGUGCCGCCUGGGGAGUACGGUCGCAAGAUUAAAACUCAAAGAAAUUGACGGGGACCCGCACAAGCGGUGGAGUAUGUGGCUUAAUUCGAUGCAACGCGAAGAACCUUACCUGGGCUUGACAUGUAAUGAACAACAUGUGAAAGCAUGCGACUCUUCGGAGGCGUUACACAGGUGCUGCAUGGCCGUCGUCAGCUCGUGUCGUGAGAUGUUUGGUUAAGUCCAGCAACGAGCGCAACCCCUGUUGCCAGUUACCAGCACGUGAAGGUGGGGACUCUGGCGAGACUGCCCAGAUCAACUGGGAGGAAGGUGGGGACGACGUCAGGUCAGUAUGGCCCUUAUGCCCAGGGCUGCACACGUACUACAAUGCCCAGUACAGAGGGGGCCGAAGCCGCGAGGCGGAGGAAAUCCUAAAAACUGGGCCCAGUUCGGACUGUAGGCUGCAACCCGCCUACACGAAGCCGGAAUCGCUAGUAAUGGCGCAUCAGCUACGGCGCCGUGAAUACGUUCCCGGGUCUUGUACACACCGCCCGUCACAUCAUGGAAGCCGGUCGCACCCGAAGUAUCUGAAGCCAACCGCAAGGAGGCAGGGUCCUAAGGUGAGACUGGUAACUGGGAUGAAGUCGUAACAAGGUAACC
rnacentral:rRNA from 1 species